rnacentral:rRNA from 1 species
GACGAACGCUGGCGGCGUGCUUAACACAUGCAAGUCGAACGGAAAGGCCCUGCUUUUGUGGUGUUCUCGAUUGGCGAACGGGUGAGUAACACGUGUGUAACCUGCCCUUGACUUUGGGAUAACUUCAGGAAACUGGGGCUAAUACCGUAUAGGAGCUCCUGCUGCAUUGUGGGGGUUGGAAAGUUUCGGCGGUUGGGGAUGGACUCGCGGCUUAUCAGCUUGUUGGUGGGGUAGUGGCUUACCAAGGCUUUGACGGGUAGCCGGCCUGAGAGGGUGACCGGCCACAUUAGGACUGAGGUACGGCGCAGACUCGUACGGGAGGCAGCAGUGGGGAACAUUGCACAAUGGGCGGAAGCCUGAUGCAGCAACGCCGCGGGCGGGAUGACGGCCUGCGGGUUGUAAACCGCAUUCGCCUGUGACGAAGCGGGAGUGACGGUAAUGGGUAAAGAAGCACCGGCUAACUACGUG